GACGAACGCUGGCGGCGUGCCUAAUACAUGCAAGUAGAACGCUGAAGGAGGAGCUUGCUCUUCCGGAUGAGUUGCGAACGGGUGAGUAACGCGUAGGUAACCUGCCUGGUAGCGGGGGAUAACUAUUGGAAACGAUAGCUAAUACCGCAUAACAGUAGAUAUUGCAUGAUAUCUACUUGAAAGGUGCAAUUGCAUCACUACCAGAUGGACCUGCGUUGUAUUAGCUAGUUGGUGAGGUAACGGCUCACCAAGGCAACGAUACAUAGCCGACCUGAGAGGGUGAUCGGCCACACUGGGACUGAGACACGGCCCAGACUCCUACGGGAGGCAGCAGUAGGGAAUCUUCGGCAAUGGACGGAAGUCUGACCGAGCAACGCCGCGUGAGUGAAGAAGGUUUUCGGAUCGUAAAGCUCUGUUGUAAGAGAAGAACGAGUGUGAGAGUGGAAAGUUCACACUGUGACGGUAUCUUACCAGAAAGGGACGGCUAACUACGUGCCAGCAGCCGCGGUAAUACGUAGGUCCCGAGCGUUGUCCGGAUUUAUUGGGCGUAAAGCGAGCGCAGGCGGUUAGAUAAGUCUGAAGUUAAAGGCUGUGGCUUAACCAUAGUACGCUUUGGAAACUGUUUAACUUGAGUGCAAGAGGGGAGAGUGGAAUUCCAUGUGUAGCGGUGAAAUGCGUAGAUAUAUGGAGGAACACCGGUGGCGAAAGCGGCUCUCUGGCUUGUAACUGACGCUGAGGCUCGAAAGCGUGGGGAGCAAACAGG
rnacentral:rRNA from 1 species